rnacentral:misc_RNA from 1 species
AAGUCGUAACAAGGUUUUCGUAGGUGAACCUGCGGAAGGAUCAUUAACACGUAUCCAAACGUAAACCCCCAAUCCUCUUGUAACCCGCGUACUUCGCAAUCUCUGGUAAAUCAUAGCCCGGAAAGUAGUUUUGAUUCAGAGACCUCUGGCUACGUGAGAACCUUGGAACAGUUACAAUCGUCAUAGGCAUUGUUUCCCCAAGCAGUCAGUGUCUGAGAGUGUCACUGAUUGUGCAAGGAUAGCGCUUCAACGAUUCCUGUAGACCGUACACCCGGGCAGGAGCUGCCAAAGGGUACCCAUGCCCCCUUAUAACCCCACAUUUUAAUGUGAAGCCCAAUGUAUACGUUGGGUAAAAAACCGAACAACUGUUAACCAUGGAUAUCUUGGUUUUC